rnacentral:lncRNA from 1 species
AAUUUGAUAUGAUAACACUAUUAAUGAACAUGAUAAUGUUUAAAUAGCUAUCCCAUAUGACUUUUCCUGCAUAUUAGAUAUUAGGAUUCGGAUAUGACAGGCAGUAUACCAGCAUCAAAUACUAUAGUGUUUUUUAAGCACAAAUAUAACAAUCAAGCAUUAUCAAUUGGAUCCAUCAUAAUCGCAGCUAGAUACAAAGGCUAACCAAAGUAGGAUUAAAAGUCUGACAGCAUUAAAACUGAGUUCAAAAUCGAAUCUACAAAGGAAAUCAAUAUGGAAAUCAAAGUAAUUUCUUUAACUCAUUUGAAACAGACUUAACAUUAAUGGCAAUUGAAAUAACCCAUACAACAAAUCAUGGCCCUACUAGGACAACCAUCGAUACUUACACAAUUCCACAACAACGGAAACUGAACGGUGUUUGUCAGAAGCAUCUUCAUGAAUAUUCGGAAGAGUUCAUCCCUUUUUGCCUCGUGUAAGCUG